rnacentral:rRNA from 1 species
GUGCCAGCCGCCGCGUAAUUCCAGCUCCAAUAGCGUAUAUUAAAGUUGUUGUGGUUAAAAAGCUCGUAGUUGAACCUUGGGCCUGGCUGGCCGGUCCGCCUCACCGCGUGCACUGGUCCGGCCGGGCCUUUCCCUCUGUGGAACCCCAUACCCCUCACUGGGCGUGGCGGGGAAACAGGACAUUUACUUUGAAAAAAUUAGAGUGCUCCAGGCAGGCCUAUGCUCGAAUACAUUAGCAUGGAAUAAUAAAAUAGGACGCGCGGUUCUAUUUUGUUGGUUUAUAGGACCGCCGUAAUGAUUAAUAGGGACAGUCGGGGGCAUCAGUAUUCAACUGUCAGAGGUGAAAUUCUUGGAUCAGUUGAAGGCUAACUACUGCGAAAGCAUUUGCCAAGGAUGUUUUCAUUAAUCAGGAACGAAAGUUAGGGGAUCGAAGACGAUCAGAUACCGUCGUAGUCUUAACCAUAAACUAUGCCGACUAGGGAUCGGACGGUGUUAUUCAUGACCCGUUCGGCACCUUACGAGAAAUCAAAGUGCUUGGGCUCCAGGGGGAGUAUGGUCGCAAGGCUGAAACUUAAAGAAAUUGACGGAAGGGCACCACCAGGGGUGGAGC